rnacentral:lncRNA from 1 species
AUAUGCAAUGAGCUCCUCCAUCAUCACAUAAUCACCUGUGGACUAAUCUCCUGUGUAUCUCACAUAAACACUAUUAGUCCACCUAAGUUGUCACUCAAUUACCAAAACCAAACAAGGACCUUUCACAUGCUUCUUGCCUUGUCCGAUCCUCAUAACCAUCGACCCAUCAAUGUCGUCGGUGCUCGGAUCCCACUCUGGCCCAUGGACCGACCUUGCCUCCGAUGUAUAGGAACUGAUGCGGGUGUGGGAGCUCGGAUUGCUGUAUGACUCGGACGGGUCAUCCGGGUUAAAGGUGGCAUCAUAUGUGGAGAUGUCUGGAUUUUAAACAUCCGAUGUUACAACUUGCUCCAAACUUUCUAAUUUUUUUACCUCGGCCCCCACAUGCAAUAACAAGACACAUCGACAAGUUUCGUGAUUUUCGGACUUUGUUUUAAUUUUAUAUAAUUUAAAUACACUUUUCUUGCGAGUAUAAUAUCAGGUUAUGAUAAUAUGAUGCGCUAAAAUUCAUGCGACUUCCUAGAUACGGCCUCGACAUACCCUAAAUAUUAUGAAUCUCAUUUUUCGAAUAACCGAAUUAUAUUAUUUCAUAUACCUGUAGUUCAAUUUUACAUUACUCGGAAAAAUUCAACGAAAUGAAAAAAAUUAAGUAAAUAUAGUUUAUAAACUCAAAAUUGUGCCAAAAUUUGAAAUAAGAAAUUAUUUACUGUAUCAAGUGGCCACACAAAAAAAUAGAUCCAAAAAACAAAAAAUAAAAAAAAUAAUUUGCCGGGAGCUUAAUUUGGCUCCCGGCAAAGAAACCUUUGCCGGGAGCCAGGUCAGAGACACCCGACAAAUAUUUUUUAUAUUAAAAAAUAAAAAAAUCUUUGCCGGGUGUCUAACGGCGUGGCUCUCGGCAAAGGGUGACAACCGUUGGCCCUCACCCCGCC